UACAGAGGGUGCGAGCGUUGUCCGGAAUCACUGGGCGUAAAGGGCGCGUAGGCGGCCUGAUAAGUACGGGGUGAAAUCCUGUGGCUUAACUGCAGGGCUGCCUCCUAGACUGUUAGGCUCGAGCACGGUAGAGGCAGAUGGAAUUCCCGGUGUAGCGGUGGAAUGCGUAGAGAUCGGGAAGAACAUCGGUGGCGAAGGCGGUCUGCUGGGCCGUUGCUGACGCUGAGGCGCGACAGCGUGGGGAGCAAACAGG
rnacentral:rRNA from 1 species